CCAUAUCUUCCAUAGCCGACUCCUUCAU
rnacentral:sRNA from 1 species